rnacentral:rRNA from 1 species
AUUGAACGCUGGCGGCAGGCCUAACACAUGCAAGUCGAACGGUAACAGGAAACAGCUUGCUGUUUCGCUGACGAGUGGCGGACGGGUGAGUAAUGUCUGGGAAACUUCCUGAUGGAGGGGGAUAACUACUGGAAACGGUAGCUAAUACCGCAUAACGUCGCAAGACCAAAGAGUGGGACCUUCGGGCCUCUUGCCAUCGGAUGUGCCCAGAUGGGAUUAGCUAGUAGGUGGGGUAACGGCUCACCUAGGCGACGAUCCCUAGCUGGUCUGAGAGGAUGACCAGCCACACUGGAACUGAGACACGGUCCAGACUCCUACGGGAGGCAGCAGUGGGGAAUAUUGCACAAUGGGCGCAAGCCUGAUGCAGCCAUGCCGCGUGUAUGAAGAAGGCCUUCGGGUUGUAAAGUACUUUCAGCGGGGAGGAAGGGAGUAAAGUUAAUACCUUUGCUAAUUGACGUUACCCGCAGAAGAAGCACCGGCUAACUCCGUG